rnacentral:rRNA from 1 species
UGGGGAAUAUUGCACAAUGGGCGCAAGCCUGAUGCAGCCAUGCCGCGUGUGUGAAGAAGGCCUUCGGGUUGUAAAGCACUUUCAGCGGGGAGGAAGGGAGUAAAGUUAAUACCUUUGCUCAUUGACGUUACCCGCAGAAGAAGCACCGGCUAACUCCGUGCCAGCAGCCGCGGUAAUACGGAGGGUGCAAGCGUUAAUCGGAAUUACUGGGCGUAAAGCGCACGCAGGCGGUUUGUUAAGUCAGAUGUGAAAUCCCCGGGCUCAACCUGGGAACUGCAUCUGAUACUGGCAAGCUUGAGUCUCGUAGAGGGGGGUAGAAUUCCAGGUGUAGCGAUGAAAUGCGUAGAGAUCUGGAGGAAUACCGGUGGCGAAGGCGGCCCCCUGGACGAAGACUGACGCUCAGGUGCGAAAGCGUGGGGAGCAAACAGG